GGUGUAUGUAGCUCAGUGGUAGAGUACAUGCUUAGCAUGCACAAGGUCCUGGGGUUGAUUCCCAUUACCA
rnacentral:tRNA from 1 species